GGUAAUAUCCCUUUAAAACACCGGUUCUCGUAGGAUCACCGAAGUUAAGCAAAGUUGAGCAUGGUUAGUGCCAAGAUGGGUGACAGCUUGGUAUUACCA